AAUCUUUCGCACUGGAGGGAACUCUGACGCAGCGACGCCGCGUGAACGAUGAAGGUCUUCGGAUCGUAAGGUACUCUCCUCAGGGAGGAAGGUCACUGAACGUGACUUGACGGUACCUGCGGAGGAAGCCCCGGCUACCUACGUGCCAGCAGCCGCGGUAAUACGUAGGGGGCAAGCGUUGUCCGGAAAUAUUGGGCGUAAAGGGUGCGUAGGCGGCCUUUUAAGUCAGAUGUGAAAGACCACGGCUUAACUGUGGGGCUGCAUUUGAAACUAGAAGGCUUGAGUUUCGGAGAGGGUAGGGGAAUACCCGGUGUAGCGGUGAAAUGCGUAGAUAUCGGGAGGAACACCAGUGGCGAAGGCGACUACCUGGUCGAGAACUGACGCUGAUGCACGAAAGCUAGGGGAGCAAACA
rnacentral:rRNA from 1 species